rnacentral:rRNA from 1 species
GUAUAAGAGACAGCAGUCGCCACGGGAAUACGUAGGUGGCAAGCGUUGUCCGGAAUUAUUGGGCGUAAAGGGCUCGCAGGCGGUUUCUUAAGUCUGAUGUGAAAGCCCCCGGCUCAACCGGGGAGGGUCAUUGGAAACUGGGAAACUUGAGUGCAGAAGAGGAGAGUGGAAUUCCACGUGUAGCGGUGAAAUGCGUAGAGAUGUGGAGGAACACCAGUGGCGAAGGCGACUCUCUGGUCUGUAGCUGACGCUGAGGAGCGAAAGCGUGGGGAGCGAACAGGAUUAGAUACCCGAGUAGUCCCUGUCUCUUAUAC